rnacentral:lncRNA from 1 species
UUUUGUUUCCCUCACCCUCAAUUCCUUUUCCUUUAUUUUGUUCAUCCCUAUCCUCUCCAUCUCCCUCUCAUGCCUUUUCUCUCUCAUGUCCAAAUCUCCCCUCUCCUAUCCAUGCGUACUCGAAGUUUCCUAUGCCUCUCUUCCCUUAUUCCUUCGAGCCACCAAUAAGUUUUCCUUUUCCUCUUCUUAAAUUGAUCUCUUGUAAUACUUAGGAGAAAAGGGGAUAGGGCCUUGUUUCAUUGUUUAAAGGUCCUUAUCAGGCUUUUCUUCCCUAUUCCCUUGGUGGCUGGCGGUGGUGCUGUGGGUAGUGGUGGCCAAUGGCCAUGUGAUGGAUGGUGGGGCUGUGUCGUAGGUGGCAAACAGGUGGAGGGCGAACCCUUAUUUUUUCUAUUGUAUUUGGAUGAAAGAGGAAGAAAGAAAAGAAAGUAAGAAAAAGAGAGAAGAAAAGGAGGGCUGUGGCAAUGAAAAGAAAGUAAGAAAAAGAGAGAAGAAAAGGAAGGCUGUGGCAAUGAUGCCUCCUAUCACAAUUAGCAUGAGUCAUGCUAAUAUCACCGGAAUAAUAGCCAAUUCCCCUUGUAGCAUUUAUGAAUUAGAAGAAAAUUAAAACCUUUGAAAUUUGGGUUAUUUUUGAAAUAUGGAUGUAACCCUAAUUUGAUAUGUUUGUGAUUUCAACAUAAUUAAGUCUCGAAGGAUCUUUAUGAACUAAGUAAGC